rnacentral:rRNA from 1 species
CCUACGGGAGGUAGCAGUGAGGAAUAUUGGUCAAUGGACGGACGUCUGAACCAGCCAUGCCGCGUUCAGGAAGACGGCUCUAUGAGUUGUCAACUGCUUUUGUACAAGGGUAAACCUGAAUACGUGUAUUCAGCUGAAAGUACUGUACGAAUAAGGAUCGGCUAACUCAGUGCCAGCAGCCGCGGUAAUACGGAGGAUCCAAGCGUUAUCCGGAUUUAUUGGUUUUAAAGGGUGCGUAGGCGGAUUGAUAAGUGAGAGGUGAAAUGUCCGAGCUUAACUCGAGACCUGCCUCUAAUACUGUAUAUAUAGAGUAGAUGCGGUAGGCGGAAUGUAUGGUGUAGCGGUGAAAUGCUUAGAGAUCAUACAGAACACCGAUUGCGAAGGCAGCUUACCAAUCUAUAUCUGACGUUGAGGCACGAAAGCGUGGGGAGCAAACAGGAUUAGAUACCCUAGUAGUC